AGCGUUGCGGCCCAGGCGGCCGUCUUAGUCUGCCCCGCAGGGCCGGUGGGGCACGAGCAGCGGGAACAUGGCUCUAAAACGGAUCCAGAAGGUUGCUUUCACUACCAGAAUCUAUCACCCUAAUAUCAACAGCAAUGGCAGCAUUUGCCUGGACAUCCUGAGGUCACAGUGGUCCCCAGCACUGACUGUGUCUAAAGGUAGAGACACUGGCAUGGACUGAGCAUGCUGGUCUACUGGUCCCCCUUGCUGACUAGUGGACACGGAAGCUGAGGAAGAACAGAUGGCUUCCCCAGAUCACAUAGCCCUGCCCAGUCCUGUGACUCCCUCAUUCUCCAUGCUGUAAGGCGAUGAGGGCAUUGCGAAGCACAGUUCCCAUGCCAGUAAUUCUCAGCCAUCAGCUGUUCUGUGAUGCUCCGAACUGUCACCUGGGUACAAGAAGAUAGCAUCAACUUUACUUGCAUUUUCACCUAAAAGUCGGAAAGCAAAUAUGAAACUUUUUUUCAUCUGCAGACCAGCAGACUGUGAGUCAUCUCUGAAAGUUCUCCUGUCUAUCUGCUCUCUGCUCUGCGACCCCAACCCUGAUGACCCACUCGUG
rnacentral:lncRNA from 1 species